rnacentral:misc_RNA from 1 species
AGUCAUUUCAAGGUGUCAAAAUGCGACAAAAACAAAACUAUUACAAAAUGUCAUUGAAAACUUUAUCCAGAAAUUCUGAAUAAAUGGCAUGGUACUUUGUUCUUAAAUGAAUGUUAAAAUAUAACACCCUUAAUUUAAGUGAAAAAUCUCAAAGAAAUCGUUCUGUUUGAUUUUUAGAAACGUUGGCUUGAAUGUCAGCUGCUUACAUGUAAAGGUGUUAUUUUGCUUAUUUACUCAAAAAUCGAUUCUACAAUUAUUGAAUUCGUCGGGAAUUAAAAAAAUUCUCGUAUUUGUUUUUGAUCACGGUGUUUUUGACUUUGAUCUCAAGGAGAUCAAGCAUUAUUCAAUGCAAUCAUUGAGUUUCAAAUUCAUUGAAACAUUUUAACACCGCUAAGUUUUAUCCUUAACUGAAGGAAAAUGUUGCGCUUAUUUUCAUGGGUGUAGUUUGUUGUCUCCAUUAUGGUUUACUAUUGUCUCGAAUCGCCAUAUCACAGUUCAUUUCUGUUUAUCAUGAAUUCAUAAAACGCGUGAUUGCUUUCUUUCGACUUUCCGGAACCACACUAAAAUCUGCCGAGCUAGUAUUACUACUACAGUGGCACUGUGAUUCAAGUUGUCAUUGCUUUUUGUAGAGGAGGAAACUGGCGAAUUUUGAAAGAGCCUUCUUGCCAACGACAAACUUAAGAGGUGAUUUCUCAGCGAUUCUUCUCGAUCAAGGGAAUUAAAAUAUGUUAGGUUGAACCUGUUUGAAUGCCACAAAAAUAGCUCUUGCUUUACAUUGCCAACUUUUCUAUUUUAGGGUGCUCAAAUAGACCGAUUUCAAUAUAUUAAAAUUCUAACUUGGCUCUCGAGGCCUAGGAGAAUAACAGAAGAAAUCAAUUACUCAUCCCUCGACCUCGAUGUGAAUUGUUUUGUUUUGUUUCCCCAAGCCUCGGAGCCAAGUUAGAAUUUUAAUCUAUCAAAGUUGGCCUGUUGGUUAUAAGUCAAUCAGAACCCUUGUCUACUGCCCUGAUUUCUUGCGAUAUAAGUUCACUGAUUUGUUUUUGGUUUUUGGCCAAAUUUGGACAUUAUAACAUCCUCAUCGUAUUUUUUUUAUGCUCUUCGACAGAUCUUCAGGCUCGUUAACCUGUCUUUUGGUCUCGCCAUAGAUAUUUGGGCUUGAAGCCUCUCGCCAAAAAUCAGUACAAAUCAAGGCACGACCAAACUCACCUGGCCGUCGAGGUGUAUCGUAAGCUACAUCAGGAUUUCCAUCUGCACCUGCCUACCUGUAUCUAUCUCUUACGUUCUUUUGUGACUAGGUGUCACAUAAGGCUUCAAAAGGUUUUCAAUAUAUGCAUUAAUCUUAGUACUAAUUUUAAGAAUAAUGUCUACAUCAAAACAUAAAACGACAAACGCAUAAAGGUAACAAUGGCCCGUGAUUGUGUCGAUGACAAGACUUCCCAAUUCUUUUCAUCACUUGGGCUUUGAUUUAUCGAUACUAUCACUCUUUAUCAGGUCAUGCUACAAUAAUGGUAUCACACCGAUGGCCAGUGAUUGAUAAACAAGUUCUGAGCAUCCUUUUUUAACAAAGCACCCUUAAAUUAGCUUAAAAUGCUUAUAACUAAAAAACAAGUUUGGUGACUCCUACUUUUAUUUUAAUAUGGCAUUGUCAUUAGACUGAUAAAGUACAACGUUUUGCUAAUUUUUCAAAAAUUCUGUGUAUGAAGUUCAAAGCCACAUUACCUUCUUCUCUACAGAAGGUUUUUUUUUGGAAAUUUGCGAAAGCGUUUAUCUCGUAGAAUGUUUGUCACGAAUCGAUAAGAAAGAAGUUGAAAGAGAGUAAACGAGCUCGUUUUGAGUUAUAAGCACUUGAAGCUAUAAUUAAGAGGUUUUUUUAAAAGGUUGUAUCGUUGCUAUGGUAACUUAUUACUCUAUGAAGAUGACCAUAUCUUGUUUACUGAUGAUUGCAGAUUUAUGUGAUACCCCGUUCCCGUACGGUCCUUGGAGCUUCGAACUGAGUUAUACAGUUGGCUCGAGUACAGCUGAGAAACCUAAUUGUGUUUAACUUUCCGAAACAGUAGUACACAAGCCGAAUGAUGUUUUUCCAAAGCAAUCUCAAAAAUAGAAAUAAAACACUGUUGUAAGCUGAUAAAAGCUUUAUUUAUGUUUUUUCUCAAGUUUGCGACACCUACUGUAACCGUUAAACCAAUUGUUAACCACUAUUUUCCAUAAGCACUUACAACAAAGAAGUCAUUUUAAAUCAAUUCUUAGUUCUCGCACGCCUACUGAUGGAAACAAAGGCCGUUGUUCUGUCCAUCUGGUUAAAAAGUUUUAAUUUCUUAAGAUAACUUUGUUAAUGACCUUUGACGUUACCCACAGCUUCAGAUUUUGGGAUUUCAUCUAUUCAGAUAGGCACAUCAAAAGGGUGCGCAAAUUGGAAAUUCGUGUGGGGUGACCUUGACAUGUUACGUUACUGGUAAAGGUUAAAUUGUAGGUUUUAAACAAAAAACGAUCGCAAUUGGCGUAGCAAAGCGCUGCCCUACUGAAGAUUUGACAUUAUUUUCGGCCAUAUGAGACGCUGGCAGAGAUAUGGUAAAAUGUGAUAUUCUGAUAGGAUAGAGUCUUACAGCGUUGUCAAAUGAGAUGAAAUCCUGCAAUGCAAUCUGUUCAUAACCUAAUAUGAUAUUUCGUCUUAGUAUUUCAGGUCACUUCUGUGUUGAGCUGGUUCAAAUUGUACGCUACAAUCUGUAACUCGGAUUGUUUUUUCAUAGUGCUAAAAUUUAUCUAUUCCUUUCGCCUUUUUGCGUGAAACAAAUACUCUUCUUUGUCACCUUACGUAACUUAGAAAAAGAAAAGCAAAUAAAGUAUUAUCGUUUUAUAAUUACUAACCUCAAAUGAUGGAAUAAAUUCAUCGCAAACGAAUGAAAUGUUUUUUGGGUUAGGUUAGCUUGGGUCUUAACACCUGCCGACCUGGCAAUAUAAAUAAUGAAAAGAGAAACUUCAGCUUGGCCGCUCGAUUUCUUGAUUUCGCUUUUGUUAUUGUUCGAGACGAUCUUCCAGAUGAAGCUAGCAAAAAGUAAGUAAUCCUCUGCUUUUGACGAAAUCAUGUUUGUAAAGGCUACAUUAUAUCUAUAAAUGUGCAUUUCUACAUUUAGGGAAAAGAAUGAAUGGAGUAUAUAUGUUACAGUGUGUAGAAAUACAUGCCCGCGAAAGACAAUGACACGUGCUGCUCGAAAAAAAAAAUGGAUGAUCCGGGCUAUCACAAAACUCUUUACCUUUAAGCUACAGUGGACGUCCCACACUUUGCUUCCAGAAGUUUUUGUGAUGAGAGAGAAUUUUUAAAAAGAAAGGACAGUGAUGCUUGCGCAAAUUUGAAAAAGAUGUUACUAAAUUAUUGGUACAACGUUUUUCUCCAUCUUGUGAACCUUCUGUCUUUCAGGAAGUAAAGAGGGAACAGUGGUCAGAUUUACGUUGUUCGUGUUUAUUUUAUUGGCGGACUACACUUGUUCACGUAUGUAUAAAUAUACCAAAUCAUUUAUUUUUAUGAUUUAUCGAGCGAUUUUACCAUGCCUAGUAUCACAGCAUGAUAAAAUAACAGAGCGAAGAACUCAGAGCAGAGUGAGUAGAUCCUCACCCUGCUUCAGUUCUGACAGCAGAAAUUCAUUCUCUCGCCUCCUUUCAAUGAUCAAUUUUUUUCAAAAUUAUUAAAAAUAAACGAACAAAUCAAGUAAAGAAGUAUAAAGCGUCUUCAUAAAGGUAAGAACAUCAAAAUAUGUUUAAGUUUUUAGUAGAAACCUAGGAAACAAUUUUUUUAAAAGACAACUCACUGAGUUAUGAUUCUAAGUUUUAGUGCACAACCUUUGUAAUUUCAUCAGAGCAAGUCUCUUGUAACUUUGAAGCUGGAUUUUGUGAUUGGAAGCAAGGAGAUAUAGAUUCCUUCGAUUGAACUCGAGGCAGUGGCUCAACACCUACCUGAUGAACUGGGCCGAGCGAGGAUCACACUACAGGAACAGGUAUUUCGAAACCUGGCAAAUCAAAGCUAAAUAGCAAUAAUAAAAAAAAACCUUAGCCACUUUUUUCCUUCCUUUUCUUUUUUCACUCAUUCUGUCCAUAUAUUACUUCCUAUUUAAAAUAGGGUUUUUGCAACUUUCCAUCGCCCUAUUGGGACAAAAGAGAAAAAAGGAAGAAAAAAGAUAAAAAGCACUUUGAAACAAGAUACCCAGGCUUACUUAGCCAAUAAACUAUUAUUGUUAUAAAAAUAACGUGAAAAAAGGUUUUAUGUUUGUUUAUUUGUACUUCAAAUUUUCAGAUGAUGGGUUCUACAUUUACAUAGUAUUAUCAUGCCAAUGGCAAAGCUUGUGUGGCUUUGGAUGGAGCAGUACGGCGGCUACAGUUGUGUGCAGAAUGCUGGGCUUUCCUCCUGCCACUGGAGCUCCUGAAAAAUCCGCCUUCGGGGUUGGAAGUGUUUCAAUGCGGCUGCAUGAAUUUUCCUACCACGGCACUGACCAUCAGUUAGCGGAGUGUCCCAUGGAUACAACAUCCUCGUAUGAAGGGUUGCUAUAUUUUUGUGACGACAACGAAGAAGCAGGAGUUGUUUGUGGAACCCCUAAUGUUACAGCGCGUCUGUCUGAUGGAGGAGCUCAUAAUCAGGGAAGGGUUGAACUGAACGUCAACGACCUCUGGGGGACAGUGGCUGAUCCAGAAUGGGACAGAAAAGAUGGUGACGUCGUCCGUCGAAUGCUCGGCCUUCUACCUGCCUCAGGUACUCCGGGUGGGGCUAUUUUCGGCCAGGGAACUGGAAUAGUAUGGCUAUCGCAUGUCAACUGCUUGGGAAAUGAAACUUCAACAACUGACUGUGGCAAUGAUGGUGGCUGGGAGACUGGAAGAUUGUACAGUUACAACGAACACGCAAAUGACGCGGGUGUAAUAUGUGGAGAGCCGAAUGUUCAGUUGCGGUUAGUCGACAGCCCGUCAGGCUCGGACAAAGACGGCCGUGUUGAACUGGGUAUCGGCGGCGUCUGGGGAGGAGUAUGUUCCCUUGAGUGGGACUUACGAGACAUUGCAGUGGUUUGUCAAAUGUUUGGAUUACCCCCUGCAUCGGUGGCGCAAGGAGAAACCGUGUUUGGCAACUCCGGGGACAAACCCUGGCUUGGAAAUUUAGAAUGCAUUGGUAACGAGUACAGUACAACAGAAUGUCCACACAGAGGGUGGGGUAAUACAGACAGAUUCCUUUGUGAUGGAAAGUCAGACGCUGGUGUUAUAGGUGGUCCACCUUACAGUGAGUCAUUUCAAUACCGCUCUUAGUAAAUUAAGCCUUCUACCAGUGCAAUGUUAAACCCACUGAGUAAUGCCAAACAAUACCAUGAGUUAAAUCUUAUUAUGUUCCAUAGAAAGGGACUUCUAGAAGUUAUUUAAAUGCUGUGAGAUGCAACAUAACGGUGUUUAAUUUUAAGUCGAAUACUUAUUAACCAUAAACUCCGGUAUAUAUCACAGAGAUUUUGGUCGCUUUCUCUGAAAGUCGUUUUAAAAGGGUUGUGGUUACAACGAGCAAUCGAACUAACGAAUACCUUUUCCCAGUCCCUUAGCACUUCUUUCCUUAUCGAGGUUUUACUCUAUAUUCCUUUUCUUUAGGUUUUGGUCAACGUUGAAAGGAAGGGGAGGGAUGAAAUCUUGUUGGGAAUAUUUAAUCACAAACGUUUCAUAUAAAUGGUUUGUUUGUGGCGUAUAUAUCCUUCAGUAACGUGUCGUAUUUUGUUAGUAAACAUUCGAUUAAUGGGAGUCAACUCUUCGGAUCAAAUGGGCCGAGUGGAAUUCUCGUUGAAUGGAGUCUGGGGCACAAUAUGUGAUGAUACUUGGAACAUUCGUAAUACGCAUGUCAUUUGUGAUAUGAUGGGGCUUCCUCCUGCUACCGCGGCUUUGGGUUCAGCAGUGUUCGGUCGAGGAAAGGGAGUGAUAUGGCUAGAUACCUUAAACUGCUUCGGAAAUGAAAGCUCCGUUUUGGAAUGCCAGCAUGGCGUAUUUCGAAAUGUAAAGGGCUGCAAUCGUUAUUCUGAUAGUGAUGCUAUGUGCGGAAUAGCUCCCGGUUUUUAAACAAAAGUGCUAUCGAAGAAAUUGAAGAGAUGUCUGGGGAAAGCAUUAAG